GAUGAACGCUGGCGGCGUGCCUAAUACAUGCAAGUCGAGCGAACAGACGAGGAGCUUGCUCCUCUGACGUUGGCGGCGGACGGGUGAGUAACACGUGGAUAACCUACCUAUAAGACUGGGAUAACUUCGGGAAACCGGAGCUAAUACCGGAUAAUAUAUUGAACCGCAUGGUUCAAUAGUGAAAGACGGUUUUGCUGUCACUUAUAGAUGGAUCCGCGCCGCAUUAGCUAGUUGGUAAGGUAACGGCUUACCAAGGCAACGAUGCGUAGCCGACCUGAGAGGGUGAUCGGCCACACUGGAACUGAGACACGGUCCCGACUCCUAAGGGAGGCAGCAGUAGGGAAUCUUCCGCAAUGGGCGAAAGCCUGACGGAGCAACGCCGCGUGAGUUAUGAAGGUCUUCGGAUCGUAAAACUCUGGUAUUAGGGAAGAACAAAUGUGUAAGUAACUAUGCACGUCUUGACGGUACCUAAUCAGAAAGCCACGGCUAACUACGUG
rnacentral:rRNA from 1 species